CUACCCCAUUUUACUCGCAAUAACGCUGCAUUUUGGUGCCGGGG
rnacentral:sRNA from 1 species